rnacentral:tRNA from 1 species
GGAUGUCUGGCUGGACGGCGAGCUAUACCGGCUGGCGCCCGGCGACGGUGUCGGUUUCAAACCCGGCGAUGGCCU